rnacentral:rRNA from 1 species
UUUGAUCCUGGCUCAGGACGAACGCNGGCGGCGUGCUUACCCUUNNGGGGGGGGUUUNGNNNAAGCCUUUCGGGGUGGAUUAGUGGCGAACGGGUGAGUAACACGUGGGCAAUCUGCCCUUCACUCUGGGACAAGCCCUGGAAACGGGGUCUAAUACCGGAUAACACUCUGUCCCGCAUGGGACGGGGUUAAAAGCUCCGGCGGUGAAGGAUGAGCCCGCGGCCUAUCAGCUUGUUGGUGGGGUAAUGGCCUACCAAGGCGACGACGGGUAGCCGGCCUGAGAGGGCGACCGGCCACACUGGGACUGAGACACGGCCCAGACUCCUACGGGAGGCAGCAGUGGGGAAUAUUGCACAAUGGGCGAAAGCCUGAUGCAGCGACGCCGCGUGAGGGAUGACGGCCUUCGGGUUGUAAACCUCUUUCAGCAGGGAAGAAGCGAAAGUGACGGUACCUGCAGAAGAAGCGCCGGCUAACUACGUGCCAGCAGCCGCGGUAAUACGUAGGGCGCAAGCGUUGUCCGGAAUUAUUGGGCGUAAAGAGCUCGUAGGCGGCUUGUCACGUCGGAUGUGAAAGCCCGGGGCUUAACCCCGGGUCUGCAUUCGAUACGGGCUAGCUAGAGUGUGGUAGGGGAGAUCGGAAUUCCUGGUGUAGCGGUGAAAUGCGCAGAUAUCAGGAGGAACACCGGUGGCGA